CCCACCUGCUGGCGAGGCAGUGGAACGCGGGGGAAGACGGGGAUUGGCUGCUGCUCCCGCCCGUCUCCACCCGUCUUCGCCCCCGUGCAGUCCUGCCGCUCUGAGGGCGGACGUGCAGGGAGCAGCUGUGCUGAGGUCAAAUAAACAAGCUUGGUGUCACGAGGGUGUAUUGAUUAAAUCAUGGAGAUCACUGUCAGAGGCAAUUGUUGAGGCCUUUGUUGGAUCAGAAAGCAAUCUGGGUGUCUACCUCCAGAUUUACCAUAAUUAGCAAUACCUUUUGGAAGGGAAAAGAAUGAAUUUUCUUUAAAAUGUAUGGUCAUGUCCACCAGUGUCAAGAAACUGGAUACUGGACUUGAUGGAUGAAUUCAAGGUGGCAGUUCUCACAUGUUGCUAGAACUGUAUUUAAGAUUUCAGUAGUGCAUUUGAAAAAACAGUAUUAUAAUUUGUGGGAUCCUAGGAUUUUUUUUAAAGUUUGAACCUAUGGAACUGGAGAAGGCUCGACACCUCCCAGGAUGGAGAACUAGACGGAAGCAGAGGAGGAGAACUUCGGUGGUCUCAGGAAGAUACGUUAGGAUUCUUCUGUAACUGUUUCAGCUGCAACCUUGUACUUUUGAGACUUCCCUGAUGAGACCAUAGCUUUCAUACUAGCGACUUAGUACAGUGAUAAGCAUGAUAUAAAUGAACAGAUAAAUAAAUUAAGCUAAUAGGCAGAAGGCAGGGUAGCUUGACACAUUGUAGACUAACUAGUUCAGAGAGAUGAGUUUUUGUAGGCCUCUAAGCCUAAUCAAAUUGAGGCGGCACAGAGUUUUGAAAGAAAAAGGGCAAAAAAGUACAUCAAACAAUUCUAGAAGAGGUUGAUACAGAUUUUGUGUAAAGCUGAAAUUAUUUCAUAUUUAGUUUGAAUUUGAAUUGUUUCUAUCUAGCUGAUGUUUUCUUAAGUCAUAUGUUUGGAACCAACUUGGCUGCAGGACCUGCCGUAGCAAAGCAAAUCACCCAUUUGGAUCCAAACGUACUGGCAUCUGCCUUUCCUUUGGAUUAAAUCAACAAGGCUGAGAGGGGGCCACUAAUGUGUGGGCAGCUCAGUGUUGCCAUAUAACCAACUCUGCCCAGGCUUUUGCACCCUGGAGAAGUUUCUCCAGCUUCACUUUAUUUUCAAGUGAGGAUUAUGUUCCAUGAGCUGAUGUCUCACUCAGCAUAAUUCUAUUGUCUUGCGAGACAGACAGAUACCUACUAUAUAAAUUACUAAUUUCCUUACCCUCAGUUUCUUAGUUCCCUUAAAAUAUAGCAAUCCCACCCAAAAGAAGAACUCAGUCAAAUUUAGAAGUAUUAUGAGGAUAUUAAGCAUGUUAUAUGGAUGUUUAUGACCUUCCUUAUCAAUGUUUAGUACUGCUGAUGCCAAUUUGCACUAGUAAGUAGGUAGAUCAGGUGUAUGUGACAGAUAAAUUGGAGCCUGAAAUGAGUAUUUUAUUUUUGUAGAUAUCUCCAUUUAAAAGUACUGUCUCCAAACUGCAGAUCUUUACAGGACUUUCUUGAAAUUUUAACACAUUUUAGCUGGCUUCACGACAUAAUGAGAUAAAAUCAGAGGUAUGUCUUAAAAAUUGAUUCAGACAAUAAUAAAAUUUGCACUUUGUUUCAAUGGGAUUAUUGAAAAUCUCACUUAUUUAACCUAGCAAAGGUUAGCUUCUGUACUUUUGUCGUGAAAAUGCUGAGGAACUUAGAAUUUUCAAUGUGGUCAAAAGCAGAUUUAAAUAAAUGAUCAAAGAUUAGUUCUUGCCUCUAGGAUUACAAGAGAAGGAUGGACUUUUAAUUCAGGAGAGAAAAAAAUUAUGCAGAUUUUUAUUUUAUAAAGCACCUGAGAUUAAUCCCUGAUAGUUCCAACACUCUAUUCAGAUUAAGCACCAUAAAAAGCUAGAUCCUUCAUGGAUAUAAAUCCAUUUAGAUCAAUUGACUUCUAUGGAGCUGUAUCAGUUUGCAUCAUUUUAAGAUUUGGCCCUUCAUCUUUAAAAUACAAAGUGAAAGCAGACUUUCAUUGUUAUUCUUAAUUACAUUUCAAGUCAUAGUAUUGACUUUUUUGAGAUAUACAUUUAUUGAGAUUUUAUAAAUAAAUAUAGAUACAGAAGAAGAAAAAAGAGAAAAUAGGAGAAAUAUUUACAUUAGAAAGUACAGUGAAUUAAUUGGAUAUAUACAGCCAGUACCAUAGUUGGUACUUAUAACAGAUGGUAUUUUAUAUUUUGAUAUAAAAAAGAUAUAUUCUUAAUCAUAUAUGUCAAAGAAAAGAGACCAUAUGUUGUUAGAUACUUCCAAAUUGUCUUCUAAUAUGAAGGGCACUCUCUUGAGUGCUAUCAAAUUCCUUACUGGUGUGGUCUAACCAACAGUAGUCUAUUGACGUUUUUCAUCUCCAUAUACUUAUUGUUCAGCCUAGCAUUGCAAUGCUAAGUAAAAACACUAAAAAAGGGAUGUUCCUUAUUUUUUGUAUACACACACACACACACACACACACACACAUAAAUUAGUGGCUGACUGUUGUUAACUCUUGUAGUAUAUUCAUGGUUCUGAAAUGUGGACUACAUAUGCUAGGCACAUCAAGACUGAACAGCUUUCACAUGAGUUGUCUGAAUGAGAUGUGAAAAUAAAGUAGGAAGACAAAAUACCAAACAUGGAGGUACUAGAGUACGCAGGACUGACACAUUUAGAAACUGCUAUCAAGAAGAGGUUGUAAUGGAUUGGUCAUGUCAAGAGAAUGGAAAGAGACCAUACCCCCAAGAAAAUGUUGUAUAACGAGAUUCAAGAUGGCUCUAGAAAGCAGGGUCACCCUCUAUGGCAGUACCAAAAUGUGUGCAAAAAUGACAUAAAGUAAUUCAACAUCAAUAUAGAAAGCUGGGAGAAACUCAUAAAAUCUCAUCUGAUCUAGAAGGAACAUCUGGCACUGGGUGCAGCUUAACAUGAAGCGGCUUUGAUCCAGAAGAUGAAAGCAAAGCAAGAAAGAAGAAAGCAGGGUGCUGUAAACUCCAACUCAGACAACAUAAUGGAUCUGUGAAACUUGUAACAAACUGUGUCUAUCUCAAAUUGGGCUUGUCAGUUACAAACAGACUUAUCAGGCUUCUAACUAGACCUCUUAUGUGUCCACCAUGAUCCAGAGGAUUGACAGUUGCCUGCUUAGAGAUUUUAAAAACCGUGUUUGGGAAAGGACCUCUUUAAUUGCUUGUAAUUGCUUGUAUUCCCCUGUCACACCAUCCCCACUUCUUUCAGGUGUUCUCGUAAUGACCAGUUCUCUAAACUAAAAGGGCAUGAUGUGACCCAAACAAAGAUGGGACAAACAAGAAAGCUAGUCAUCAUUUCCUGGAGUUCAAGGAUACCAAUUCCCAUACAUAGCCAUGCACCAACUCCAUCCUACUUCCAGUUUAGUCACUCUGAGUUUUCCCCCACAUUCUAUUUGAGGUGCCAUUAAAAACAACAAUGACUGUCCAGAAGCUCUAUGCAGAGAAAGUCUAUUAUAGAACUGAGUAGUCCUUGGACAAAAUUGGCAACCAGGAAAAAUUCUAAUAUGUAAGUUGUUAUGCAUGAAGUAACAGACAGAAUUUUUAUCCAGGGUGGGGCCAAACCUUAAUUAAAUUAUAUAUUGCAGUUGUUUACCAAAUGUGUAAGGCCUUAUAUUCCUUUUUGAUGCAAGACAGUCCUUGAUCUUGGCAAAGAAUGGGGGAGAGAGCUUUCAAGAGUCUGAAAGCUAUUUAGAACUUUAGAAUGCCAUCUUCACUUUGACCUAAACAAAAAGUUAGUCCUUCCAUGUGCCAUUUUGUCUAUUGCAGUAUGGAAAUGUUGUCAUGAAGCAUAAAAGUCUGAAUGAGUUAAUUCCCUGCUAGAAAAUUAAAAAUUCCAUUAAUAUCUGCCUGGGAAUCCUUUUACCAUUCUGACAUACCACAAACUGUGACAGGAUCCUUAGUGCACACAAAGGCAUGCCAGGCCUGGUAGCUGCACUGCUACCAUAGCUGUGUAUAAAUAUAAAAUAAAUGCAGGGCAUCAGCAUGCCAAACCAGAUGCCCACAGUGCAUUGCAGGUAUGAGAACACUGGGAUGAAGUCAUCCUACUCUCCCUCCAUGCUUUUUGUUUAAUAGAAUUGCAGAGUGGUCACUAGCUAGAGCAAGAGAUUCCCUCUGGUACACUGAGUACAGAGUUUAUUUUUGUUCAAUUAAACAGUCCCUUUUCAAAAAAAUCAUCAUCAUCAUUGUUCUGGCCUUCUGCUAGAUGGUCAUGAAUAUAAUCUGCUUUUCUAUGUCUUUGUAAUUUUCAAAAUGGUUCCUGUUACUGUGCACAUGAUAUUGCGCCCCUUGUGCUGGACUUUUCACCAUGUUGAGAUUGCCUCUAGAUUCACCAAAAACAAAUCUGGUCUCUGCCAUUUGUUUACCCUUGUAUUCUGUCUCUAUGCUUUGGUAUGCAUUUUUAAUUAGAUGCACUUCAGUUCUUUCACUGCUUGCUAACACUUCCAUUUGGGAAGCAGUUUUCACUAGCCUUGCAAAUAUCCACUGUUCUUUGCAAUGUCAAGUCCUUUUCUCACCUUGCUUUGACUUGGUUAUCACUUAUAUCACAAGUAAUUCGUCCAUCUGUUAACUGUUCCAAUUCACAUUACUUGGCUUUAUUUCGAAGAUCUGCAACAAUGGUCAAUGGGCUCAUCUGGCAGCUGGCUUCUUGUAAAAAAUAUGCCUUUCCCACGUGACAUUCUUGUGUAGAUCAAAAUAUUCUUAGAAAGUUUUGAAUGUCUUCAUCUAGCAGUUUGCAGGGUCUUGUGAUUUCAGUGGAUUGGACUGUAUAUCUCCAAUGCCUUUAGACAGGCCAUAUGUAGUAACAUGGAAGACUUGACCCUCUCCAACUCCACUUGAGUCUUCUCCAAUUUUCUGCCAGAUCCCCUUCCAAAUCGAUGUGGGCAGCUUUCCUUGCUUUGUUGCUGGCAGUUUCUGACACCAUAUGAAACUACCAUGGUUCUGGAGCUACCAAAUCAUUUCUGGCCCAGUAGAAAUUAAAAACAUUUUUCUGCUUCCUUCUGUACUGUGUCAGACAAGAUGUUGAAAUCGCAUGGCAUAAUUGGAUAUGGGAUGCCAUCACUACUUCAAGAGCGUGCAGUGCCACUUCAGCAGUAAGUUCACAGUUACAGUCAUCAAAGAAAACCAAUGUGACUCAUAUGUACUUCUCAGAUUGGCCUAGUAGGCAGCUCUCUGGAAGUGGGAAGUUCCAGUCAAGGUUACCCCCAGUGGACAACAAAUAAGAUUUCCCAUAGUCUGCUUGGCAGCCUACUUUUCCACCUUCAGCAGGAAGAGCUACCAAUACUGAGUCUGUUAUAAUUUCAUAGUUUCAUAGUUUGUAGGGUUGGAAGGGACCUUGACAGAUCAUCAAGUCUGACCCCCUGCCAUGGCAGGAAAGAGUCCUCUGGACCCUCUCAAUGCCAUUCACAUCCCUCCUGAAGUGCGGUGCCCAGAACUGGACACAGUACUCCAACUGCAGCCUGACCAGUGCCAUGUAGAGGGGGAGGAUCACCUCCUUGGACCUGCUUAAGAUGCAUCUGUGGAUGCAUGACAAGGUGCGGUUGGCCUUCCUGACCACGUCCCCACACUGUUGGCCCAUGUUCAUUUUGGCAUCAAUAAUGAUUCCAAGAUCCUUUUCUGCCUCUGCACUGACAAGAAGGGAGUUCCCCAGCCUAUAGGUCUGCUGCUGGUUCUUCUUCCCUAGGUGCAGCACCUUGCACUUGUCAGUGUUGAGUCACUACUGACUUUUUCCAAGUGUUAGGACCUUGGGCUCAUGACUUGACUACAACCUCUGACCACACACAGAGUGGCCUGGAGGGCAUAGGGCAGUAACCCUGUAGAAUCUACUGAAGGGCAUGGCAAAAGAAUUCCAUCUCUACUGAAUACCCAAAUACAACAGGAGAAGGAAAGGGAAAGGAGACCCUAAUCUACAAAAAAAUUUCUGAUUAAAGUCACCUAUCUUAGAUUUCAUAGAUUUCAUAGACAUUAGGGCUGGAAGGGACCUCGGAAGAUCAUCGAGUCCAGCCCCCUGCCCAAAGGGCAGGAAGUCAGCUGGGGUCAUAGGAUCCCAGCAAGAUAAGCAUCCAGUUUCAUCUUGAAGGUGUUCAAUGUAGGCGCUUGAACCACCUCCGGUGGCAGGCUGUUCCAGACCUUGGGGGCUUGGACAGUAAAGAAAUUCUUCCUUAUGUCCAGCCUGAAACGGCCUUGUAGUAGUUUAUGACCGUUCGACCUAGUCGUCAUCCCUUGGGGUGCUCUGGUGAACAAACGUUCCCCCAGAUACUGGUGGUCACCCCGAUAAACUUGUAGGUGGCCAUCAGAUCACCCCUGAGCCUGCGCUUUUCCAGGCUAAAGAGCCCCAGGGCUCUCAGCCUAUCAUCGUAGGGUCUGCUUCCCUGACCUCUGAUCAUGCACAUGGCUCUUCUCUGGACUCUCUCAAGCUUCUCCACGUCCUUUUUUAAUUGUGGAGCCCAAAACUGGACGCAGUACUCUAGCUGCGGCCUCACUAAGGCCAAGUACAAGGGUAGAAUGACGUCCCAGGAUUUGCUUGAGAAGCAUCUAUGGAUGCAAGCCAGCGUUUUGGUUGCUUACUAGCUGCAGCAUCGCACUGCAGGCUCAUGUUCAUCUUGUGGUCAAUGAUGACCCCCAAGUCUCUUUCUUGCAUAGUGCUAUCCAACAUAGCACUGCCAAGCCUAUAAGUAUGCUGUGUGUUUUUCUUCCCAAGGUGGAGAACCUUGCAUUUAUCAGUGUUGAACACCAUCAGAUUCUCGUCCGCCCACUUGCUGAGCCUGUCCAGGUCAGCCUGGAUCACCUGCCUGUCUUCUGGCAUGGAUGCUUUGCCCCAAAGUUUGGUGUCAUCGGCGAACUUGGCCAGUCCGCUUCUGACUCCGGUAACCACAUCAUUAAUGAAGAUGUUGAACAGUAUGGGUCCAAGGACAGAGCCUUGGGUGACCCCACUGGUCACAGGACACUAUGAUGAGUGACUUGCAUCAAUUACUACACUCUGGGUCCAACCCCGGAGCCAAUUUUCCAGCCAGUGGAUCGUGGAGGACCCAAGGCGACAACUGGCCAGUUUCUCCAAGAGGCGAUCAUGGGACACCAGAUCGAAGGCUUUUUUGAAGUCAAGAUAUAUGACAUCAAUCUCUUCUCCCUUGUCCAGGUGAUAGGUCACCUGGUCGUCGAAGGAAAUGAGAUUGGUCAAGCAAGACCUACCCGCAACAAACCCGUGCUGGCUAUCCCUUAAGAUGGUGGCGUCGGCCAGUCCAUUAAGGAUGUCCUCUUUAAUAAACUUUUCUAAGAUCUUCCCCGGGAUAGAAGUCAGGCUAAUGGGCCUAUAGUUAGCCAGAUCCACUUUCCUUCAACAUCUUCAAGUUCCUAUUGUCUACUAGACUCCAGUGAAUACCCAUUAGAAACUGUUUCUCUAGUUAAGCACAUUUAGAUCUGUGUUCUCUGGUCCCUGCAUACUGUUGACAUGCUAUAGACAUAUUAAAGUAAUCAGUGACCUUCCUUGGUAUGUCCAGGCAUCUGUUCCCAUGACCAGGUUCUGUAAUUCAGUUAUCUUGUGGUUUAUUGAAGACUAUAAUGUUUUUCAAUUAUACUAUGGGUUAUUUUCCUUUCUCCUUCCUUGGGCAGUUUUGGUUGUUUGAUACUGCUAGGUACUUUGAUAGGUAACUUUUCCUUUCCUGUUAUCAGGGACACUAUGGACAGGGACUAGUCAAACUGUAAGGGACCAGUGCAUGGACAGUCUAGCCCAGUGAUUAGGGCUGAAAUCUGGAAUCAGGAUAAGGAGCAGGAGCCAAGGACAAGAACCAUGCUAUCAGCCAAGGUCAAGAACCAAAAACAGCAGUCGGGACACAAGUUAAGUGUUAGGUGCCAAAGACCUGAACAAGACAUGAAUCAGAGGUUGGAAAUAAACUUGAAGAAACAGUCAAUGAUAGACCAAUAUUAACCUAUAUAGAGUUGAACCUAUAAUGUUGCCCUAAGUAACAGAACUACUGUUCAUAGCAGCCAACCCAGGAGGGUAACCACAACUGUGGUUACCACAGGUAAGCUGAAAUGGUUUGCUUGUCCAACAUUUGCUCACGGGCCUUAUCUGGGGGAGAAAUCUGGACCCAGGCUGUCUGCUAUUAACCAGUAACCCUGACACAGGCAUUUCUGUGAGGGUCUAAGGAACUAGUCUUACUUUCACACAUUUUGGCUUGACUGUGUCCCAGAUAAAAACCCUGGCCAUUGUGCCUUUCAAGGUCCCAGCCUUUCUGUAAAAAUGGCUGGAGAGGCUUUCUGGUAUAGGUAGGCUACUGAAUUCACUAGUGGGCAAAAGUCCUGCUGUAUACACUGUAGAUACAAGUGUAGCAACUGAUCACAAUUGAACAAUUGCCUUCAUCAGUACAGAUUUAUAGCUGUAGUAGGUCACACUUUUUUCCCUUUUAGACAGCACACAGUAUGGAUAUUCUCCUUGCCCCUCAAGGUAAAAAAGUCUUCUGUCUUUCUCCUUUUCCUUUGGUCUUUUGAGAUCUAUCCUCCUGUGAUAAAGAUGAUGAUGAUGGAGCAAAAAAAGAGGUCUUUGUAUGGCUUCAGUACAUUUACAGAUGGGGUAUAUCUUCAGAAAGAAAGGAACUAAUAUUUAUGAAUAUAAAAAUACAUACCAGACUACACUGCAACAUAACACAGCUAGUAUAUACAGAAUGAUUAGUGACUGCCUAAUGUUUAUGUUUCUUUAAGAAAACUAUGUGCAAUAUAAAUAUAUACAUUUCACAUAGUGGGAAGAAAAUUACACCAACAGGCAAAGCCACACUACUAUGUCCAUAUAGCAGUGUUUGAAAUAAUGGAACAGGAAUUCCCAUGUGGUUUUGGGUUAAAGAGCUGUUAUCCUACUAACAACUCUUUAACCUAUUGGGUUAUAUAGGCUCUAAAUAUUCCCUACUCAAACAAAUAAAUAAAAGAUUCUCUUAAAGAAACGGAUGAGACAUUUAAUGGCCUAGGAUCUCUUAUGCAAAUCUUCAGACUUGUGUCACCAAAAAUGUACAUGCAGUGUAUUUUAUUUAGAACUAGCUUUUUUGGUUAACACUUUGCUCUCCAUAAACAAACCAAACAAGUUCAAAAGAUCUGUAUAAAGCCAUCAAAUUUAUGCAGUAUCCUAUGAGAAGACUUGAGGAGCACAUAUAUAUUCCAGAAAUAUUUUCAGUUCCAGCAUUUUUAAUUUCAGGAAUAAGUCAGGUCUAAUUUCAGUUGGUUUAGAUAUGUUUAAGGCACUUCCCUUAGGAUUGCAUCAGAUCCUAUGCAGUACCAAUUUGCCAGAUAUUCUAGGAUUCUAAAUAAAACAUGCCUGCUUGCAAGUAAGUUGUAAACUAGGAAUGAAGUUCAGUGCCACCCACGGGGAAUGGGGAGUGCCAGAUAACAAAAUAUGCCACUUAACUGAGAGGCCCGAACAGGUGUCUUUGCCACCCCCCCCCCAUCCCUGGGAGGGUGUCGCUGCCCCCCCGCUGCAUCACUGCCUCUGUCACAGGCCCCAAGGGACAAGGAGGGGGGCCCCACGCAAGCUGCUAUGCCCUGAGCCGUGGGCCCCAGGCCGUGGGGGCUCAGCAAAACUGGAAGUGCCAUGGUGGGCACUUCUGGUUUUGCUUUUUCUUUACAAGCCGGCAUGCUGGUUAAUAGAGCAUGCCAGCUUGUAAGGUGCCAGAUAGCACAGCUUUUACUGUACUUAUAUAUUUCUGUAUCAGCGAGCACAUAUACACAUGCAUUUACUCCAGCCCAGAUUUACUUAGACGCAGGGGUAGCAGUGGACGUCUUAGAUGCAGGGGUAGCAGUGGACAUAGUCUUUCUGGACUUUAGGAAGGCCUUCGACACUGUCUCUCACCCCAAUUCUCAUUUAAAAACUAGGGGACUGUGGCAUCGACACCUACACAGUCAAAUGGGUCACUAGUUGGCUGGAGGGCCGCACCCAGAGAGUGGUGAUGGAUGGGUCAUUUUCAACCUGGAGGGAAGUGGGCAGUGUGGUUCCACAGGUCUUGGGCCCGCACUGUUCUACAUCUUCAUCAGCAACUUGGAUGGGGGUGUAAACACCCUAUUCAAAUUCUCAGACGACACUAAGUUGUGGGGGAAAGUGGGCAUGCCAGAAGGGAGGAAUAGGCUGCAAUCAGACCUAGACAGGUUACAGGGGUGAGCGUAUGAGAACAGGAUGGGUUUCAACACUGACAAGUGCAGGGUACUACACCUGGGGAGGAGGAACCAGCAGCAGACCUACAGGCUGGGGAACUCCCUUCUCAUCAGUACAGAGGCAGAAAAGGCUCUUGGAGCCAUUAUCAAUGCCAAAAUGAACAUGGGCCGACAGUGUGGGGACGCGGUCAGGAAGGCCAACCAUACCUUGUCAUGCAUCCACAGAUGCAUCUCAAGCAGGUCCAACAAGGUGAUCCUCCCCCUGUAUGCGACACUGGUCAGGCCACAGUUGGAGUACUGUGUCCAGUUCUGGGCGCUGCACUUCAGGAGGGAUGUGGACAACAUGGAGAGGGUCCAGAGGAGGGCCACUCACAUGAUCAGGGGUCAGCAGGGCAGGCCCUACGAGGAGAGGCUAAGGAACCUGAACCUGUUCAGCCUCCACAAGAGAAGGCUGAGGGGAGAUCUAGUGGCCAUUUACAACCUAGUCAGAGGGGACCAGCCCGCAUUGGGGGAGUCCCUGUUCCCCCGAGCAUUACCAGGAGUGACUAGAAAUAACAGCCACAAGCUGGCAAAGGGUAGAUUCAGACUAGACAUCAGGAGGCACUACUUCACUGUCAGGUCAGCUAGGAUCUGGAACCAACUUCCAAGAGAAGUGGUGCUGGCUCCUACCCUGGGGGUCUUUAAGAAGAGGCUAGAUAAACACCUUGCUGGGAUCAUUUGACCCCAGUACUCUUUCCUGCCAUGGCAGGGGGUCAGACUUGAUGAUCUGCUCAGGUCCCUUCUGACCCUACCAACUAUGAAACUAUAAUCCAAAGUAAGUGUUUUUGAGCAGGCGUCUACAUGUGGGGGGAUUAGGGAUCAGAUUAGCACCCAGUUCCCUACAGCCCUGCAGUGGGUCCCUGCCACUGCUGGGGGGAGCUCCAGGCUCCCUUCCAGGUGCCAGCUCA